AACGAACGCUGGCGGCAUGCCUAACACAUGCAAGUCGAACGAGACCUUCGGGUCUAGUGGCGCACGGGUGCGUAACGCGUGGGAACCUGCCCUUAGGCUCGGAAUAACUCCCCGAAAGGGGUGCUAAUACCGGAUAAUUUCUUCGGACCAAAGAUUUAUCGCCUUUGGAUGGGCCCGCGUUGGAUUAGCUAGUUGGUAGGGUAAAAGCCUACCAAGGCGACGAUCCAUAGCUGGUCUGAGAGGAUGAUCAGCCACACUGGGACUGAGACACGGCCCAGACUCCUACGGGAGGCAGCAGUGGGGAAUAUUGGACAAUGGGCGAAAGCCUGAUCCAGCAAUGCCGCGUGAGUGAUGAAGGCCUUAGGGUUGUAAAGCUCUUUUACCCGGGAUGAUAAUGACAGUACCGGGAGAAUAAGCUCCGGCUAACUCCGUG
rnacentral:rRNA from 1 species